rnacentral:rRNA from 1 species
CAAAGAUUAAGCCAUGCAAGUCUAAGUAUAAGCCAAGCGGCGAAACUGCGAACGGCUCAUUAUAUCAGUUAUAGCUUAUUUGGUAGUCACAAUGCCUCGGCAUACAGUUGGAUAACUGUGGUAAUUCUAGAGCUAAUACAUACCGCACAACGAUCUUGGCUUCAUGCCAAGGUUGGUAUUUAUUAGAAGGUGGGUGGCUUCCUCGGGGGUCACUUGCUGAAUCAUAGUAACUGCGGGGGCGGCUUCGGCUUCCCCCCACACCGAACGCACGGUCUCUGAUCAGGCGUCUCACCAUUCAGGUUUCUGACCUAUCAACUUUGGGAUGGGUAAGGGUAUUUGGCUUUACCAUGGGUGGCAACAGGGUAACGGGGAAUUGGGGUUCUAUUCCGGAGAGGGAGCCUGAGAAAUGGCUACUACAUCCAAGGAAGGCAGCAGGCGCGCAAAUUAUCCAAUCUUAACACACGGAGAUAGUAACACNNACUCGCGGGGUGUUUGCUUUUAUAGUGAGCCGCGACUGCCAUGGAUCGGAUCUCAACGUUCCGAUGAGGAGCCAUUGGAGGACAAGCUCUGGUGCCAGCACCCGCGGUAAUUCCAGCUCCAAUAGCGUAUAUUAACGGUGCUGCAGUUAAAACGCCCGUAGUCGGAUUGGGUACACAGGGGUAGUGCGACUUCACUGUUGGCUGCAUCCGUCGUACACUGAGGCUGCAGCUUCGGCGACAGUCUCACCUCCUUGAGCAAAUAAGAGGAUUGAAGCAGGUCACCGCCUGCAUAGCAUUAGCAUGGAAUGGUUAUUACAGCAGGGUCUCCUGCAUGGAGACAUCUAUUUUUAUCAACAGGAUCGGGUUGGGGGUAUUUUGUAUCUAGUGGCUAGAGGUGAAAUUCUUGGAUUCACUAGAGACAGACUGAAGCGAAGGCGUUUAUCAAAGACGUAUUCAUUGAUCAAGGACGAAAGUUGGGGGAUCGAAGACGAUUAGAUACCGUUGUAGUCCCAACGGUCAACUAUGCCGGCUUGGUGGAGGUGAUAGCGUUGAGUGUGAACCACUCCUCGCGUGUUCCAGCUUCUCGGUUAGAACAUCAUCUCCGUCAAAGGGAAACCUUAAGCUUUUGGGUUCUGGGGGGAGUAUGGUCGCAAGGCUGAAACUUGAAGGAAUUGACGGAAGAGCACACCAGAAAUGGAUUGUGCGGCUUAAUUUGACUCAACACGGGGAAACUUACCAGGACCAGACAGGUGGAGGAUUGACAGAUUGAUAGCUCUUCGAGAUUACUUGGGUUGUGGUGCAUGGCCGUUCUUAGUUGGUGGAAUGGUUUGUCUGGUUUAUUCCGAUAACGAGCGAGACCGGGGCCUUAUUUUGACGAAGCCUUGGUGGAGUCAUUAAGGGACAUUCUGUGCUUCUAAGCAGAAGGAAGCCCCCGGCAAUAACAGGUCUGUGAUGCCCUUAGAUGCUCUGGGCCGCACGCGCGAUACACUGGCAGAUGCAGCGAGUCCUAGUUCUAACGGACUGUCUGCCCCUUCGGGGGCUUAGCACUUGGGGCAAUCUGGAAAACUCUGUCGUGAUGGGGAUCAUCUCUUGCAAUUAUUAGCUUUGAACGAGGAAUUUCUAGUAAGUACGGGUCAUCAGCUCGUGCUGAUUACGUCCCUGCUCUUUGUACACACCGCCCGUCGCUACUACCGAUUGGAUGGAGUAGUGAGAUGUGGGGAGAUCGAUCACGGGCUUCUUCCGGAGCCGGUCUUUGGUCGAACCCCAUCAAACUUGUCUUCUAGAGGAAGUAAAAGUCGUAACA